rnacentral:rRNA from 1 species
GACGAACGCUGGCGGCGUGCCUAAUACAUGCAAGUAGAACGCUGAAGGAGGAGCUUGCUUCUCCGGAUGAGUUGCGAACGGGUGAGUAACGCGUAGGUACCCUUCCUGGUAGCGGGGGAUAACUAUUGGAAACGAUAGCUAAUACCGCAUAAGAGUAGAUGUCGCAUGACAUUUGCUUAAAAGGUGCAACUGCACCACUACCAGAUGGCCCUGCGUUGUAUUAGCUAGUUGGGGAGGUAACGGCUCACCAAGGCAACGAUACAUAGACGACCUGAGAGGGGGAGAGGAAACACAGGGAGAGAGACACGGCGCAGACUCCUACGGGAGGCAGAAGUAGGGAAAAUUCGGGAAUGGACGGAAGUGUGACAGAGAAAAGCGGCGUGAGUGAAGAAGGGUUUCGGAGCGUAAAGCUCUGUUGUAAGAGAAGAACGAGUGUGAGAGUGGAAAGUGCACACUGUGACGGUAUCUGAACAGAAAGGGACGGCUAAAUAAGUG